AUGGAGCAGCGGCCGCGGGGCUGCGCGGCGGUGGCGGCGGCGCUCCUCCUGGUGCUGCUGGGGGCCCGGGCCCAGGGCGGCACUCGUAGCCCCAGGUGUGACUGUGCCGGUGACUUCCACAAGAAGAUUGGUCUGUUUUGUUGCAGAGGCUGCCCAGCGGGGCACUACCUGAAGGCCCCUUGCACGGAGCCCUGCGGCAACUCCACCUGCCUUCUGUGUCCCCAAGACACCUUCUUGGCCUGGGAGAACCACCAUAAUUCUGAAUGUGCCCGCUGCCAGGCCUGUGAUGAGCAGGCCUCCCAGGUGGCGCUGGAGAACUGUUCAGCAGUGGCCGACACCCGCUGUGGCUGUAAGCCAGGCUGGUUUGUGGAGUGCCAGGUCAGCCAAUGUGUCAGCAGUUCACCCUUCUACUGCCAACCAUGCCUAGACUGCGGGGCCCUGCACCGCCACACACGGCUACUCUGUUCCCGCAGAGAUACUGACUGUGGGACCUGCCUGCCUGGCUUCUAUGAACAUGGCGAUGGCUGCGUGUCCUGCCCCACUAGAGACGGGGUUUCACCAUGUUAG
rnacentral:sRNA from 1 species